GAUACUUCAAUUCCAUAAAACGUUUGCCACACUUAUAACCCAAAAAUAAGGUACACCUUUCCUAGUGAGACGGGUCAACAGAGUAACCAUCUUAGAGAAUCCAUCAAUGAAUCGUUAGUAAUAAUAUGCUAAACUAAGGAAAUUAUGUACCUCAGCUGCAUUGGUUGACGGGUUCCAGUUGAUCACUAUUUUAACUUUGGAUGAUCCAGAGGAACUCCUUCGCUCAAAAUUACAUGGCGAAAGAAGAAGACUCGAUCCAAUAAAAUGAGCACUUGCUGAGCUUAGCAUGUAGUUGGUUUCGACAAAGUGUUCC
rnacentral:lncRNA from 1 species